GCCANUUGGUUUUUAGCCCUUNCCCCGGUCAAAUNGAUGUAUUNGGGAAAUAGCCAUCAGUCAAUGUUGGCCAAGCCGNUAUAUNNGUCNUNAGCUAGUUGANUACCCGUNGGACUAUNGCCAAAGGAUGNGUGUGAUGUGCUUGUUGAUGGAAUUGGUUUAAAGUCACAGUAAUAUGUAGAUUAUUUACUCGUCCCGUCCUGAAACCCGGACCAAGGAGUNUUAUAUGAUCGCGAGUCAAAGNGCUNUACGNAACCCCAGGGCGCAAUUAAUGUGAAGGUUUACUUUCGUGAACUGAGAUGUGACGUGAGCGCAGUGGUUUUAACCCCAAUGCAAUCAGUGCAAUAUCGACCCGUCUAAAGAUGUUCGCAUCUGGGCGGAGUUUGAGCGAUCAUGUAGAGACCCGAAAGAUGGUGAACUAUGCUUGUGCAGGUYGAAGUCAGAKGAAACUCUGAUGGAGGACCGCCGCGGUUCUGACGUGCAAAUCGAUCGUCGGACAUGAGUAUAGGGGCGAAAGACUAAUCGAACCAUCUAGUAGCUGGUUCCCUCCGAAGUYUCCCUCAGGAUAGCUGGCAUUUGUUGUCGUAGUUUGACCUGGUAAAGCGAAUGAUUAGAAGUAUUGGGGGCGAAAUGCCUUCAACUUAUUCUCAAACUUUAAAUGGGUUCGAUGUGUGACUCGCUUCAUUGGASUUGCACGUYGAAUACGAAUGCCUASUGGGCCAUUUUUSGUAAGCAGAACUGGCGAUGUGGGAUGAACCAAACAUCUGGUUAAGGUGCCUAACAUCACGCUCAUGAGAUCCCACAAAAGGUGUUGGUUGAUAACGACAGCAGGACGGUGGACAUGGAMGUCGUCAUCCGMUAAGGAGUGUGUAACAACUCACCUGCCGAAUCAACCAGCCCUGAAAAUGGAUGGCGCUGUAGCGUGAGACCUAUACCGGAUCGAUAUCGUAAGUUUAUCAACGAGUAAACGGUAUCGUGUAGGAGGGUGCCGUGGUUGCUAAGAAGCUACUGGCGUGAGUCAGAGUGGAGCGGCCACGGGUACCAGAUUCUUGG
rnacentral:rRNA from 1 species